rnacentral:tRNA from 1 species
CGGCCUGUAGCUCAGCGGCAGAGCGCUCGGCUGAUAACCGGAAGAUGGAGGUUCGACUCCUCCCGGGCCGA